rnacentral:lncRNA from 1 species
UCUUUUAAGGAUACUUCGAAUUAAGAGCACGCAAAAUCGAAUAAAUCAAGAGAUAUCUUCCAAAGGAUAUCGGCAGAACUCCUAAAAUGGCUCAUGCAGGCACCACGCAUGUCUCGGGCGCGCUUUCUCCUGUUUGCUCUUAUGGCUUGCGCCCGUCAUUUCAAUCGAAAUUUAUGCCAGGAAUUCAUCGCUCCUUGAAGCCAUUCUCGGCUAAGCAAUGCGUCAAGGUUGUCAGGUAUUGAUCAAUCGCUGUCCAGGAUGAACUCAGAGUGCUGGUCUUGCAGUCAGAUCGCGGAUGUGAUCUUUUUUGUAAUGGCUACACAGGACACAACAUGCUUGUGCGAUCAAGGCUACAGCUGACACAGCAACCACAUCAUCCACGACAGGCAAGUCACACCUAGGUGUCCUUGCUUUCUCCUUAGUGCGUUGCAUCUACAUAUAGCACAUCAUCCCAGAGGUA